UUUUCAGAGACACCAUUCAGACCUUCAGGUGUGGAUCAAAUGAAAUAUGUCACCUAUCAGCUCUGAGGACUUCUAGCAUGUCUAUGAGAACAGACACAGCUGAGUUGGCAGUAUCCUGGGGCUUUGACAGUGAUUGUCCAGCUAUGAAAUAGGAAGGGAAGGAGGAAACGGCCAUGCCCUAUUCAUUUAAAGGAACAGCAGGGAACACACUGUCCACCAUUACUCUGUCAGGGUCACCUUUAUGGAUGUACCGGCACAGAUACUAUCCACACUGUACUUCACCUGCAGGCACACAAUUGGGCUGAUUUGAAACUCCACCACUCCCAUCCCAACUGGCCGAGCAGGGUGCUAACGACGCUAUGGUCUCGAGGUCAUCACACACUAACAUCACUGAAAGGUACAUCAGGGAGCACAAGCCUGCUAAAGCUGCUAUGUACAUUUCCUGUGUACAGUCCUCUUGGCCCAUAUUGCUUGUCCUUGAGUGAAGAGCAUGAAAGCAUUUCUGCAGUCCCACCCCCACACCAAGCAGGAACUACAAGCAGUCAGAUGGCAAGAUAGCUGUAAAGACACUUUGUGUACAGUAAACUUGUGUGGUCUUUAUUAGCACUUGUUUAAGCAACAUUGCCCUCCCAAUGCAAUCUUAAUGUCAUCACGCCACAAAAUAAGUAGUGUAUCCAUUGACAUGAAUGUAUUAUUUUCUUUUGUGCCACAAAUUUGAAUCAGUAACAAACUAAAGCACAGUUACAGUCAUGUGUCAUGGGGAAAUCCUUAAUGUUUGUAAAUGCCUUCUUUUGGCAAAACAUAUAAAACAUAUAAAUGUUG